UACGAAGGGGGCUAGCGUUGCUCGGAAUCACUGGGCGUAAAGGGUGCGUAGGCGGGUCUUUUAAGUCAGAGGUGAAAUCCUGGAGCUCAACUCCAGAACUGCCUUUGAUACUGAGGAUCUUUGAGUUCGGGAGAGGUGAGUGGAACUGCGAGUGUAGAGGUGAAAUUCGUAGAUAUUUCGCAAGAACACCAGUGGCGAAGGGCGCUCACUGGCCCGAUCUG
rnacentral:rRNA from 1 species